CCUUCUGCCUCUGUCCCGCAGCCACUGUCUCGACGGUGCCAGUUUUGUUCCAUCGCGUCAGCCCUUCGGUCGUGCCCUAUUCCUUUCUUGCUACUGAUCUGCUCUGCUCUGUUCUGGCAUUUAGUUCUAGUUGGCAUCACUUUUGGCGGUCUGGCAAUACUCCGCUAUAAGGAUCGAUUUAAAGAAGCUGUCUUCUUGGCUUUUGACUCACCAUCCUAGAAGGUUAAUGGGGCUGCUGAUCAUCUUCUACGAUCCCUUCUUGGAAGUUAGGUUCAUUAUUAUCCAAUAGAUCAGUACAGGUAUGUAGAUAGCUGGUUGUGUGAG